UGAUCCCAAGCCUUCUGGCGAUCUACACAAACAAGUCCACCGUGGACUUUGAAAAGCGCUUUCCUUUAUAAAAUUGAGCGUUUUGUAAGAGGAUGCCGGGGAAGGUUUUCCGGUUUAUCCCGGAGGGCUUGUAGCUCAGUUGGUUAGAGCGCGCGCUU
rnacentral:misc_RNA from 1 species